rnacentral:lncRNA from 1 species
CCUCCUCGUCCCCGCGGGCCCCGCCCCGCCCCGCCCCGCCAGCGAGGGCGCGCUGACGUCACCCGCCCCCUGCCCGGCCCCGCCCCCUCCGGGGCCCCGCCCCCCUCCGGGCCCCGCCCCCCCGCCCGCCCCCCCGCCCCCCGCCCGCCCCCCCGCCCGCCCCCUGCCGGCCGUCCGGGGCGCGUCCCGCGGCGGAGGGUCCGGGGGCGGAGGGUCCGGGGGCGGAGCGGCGGCGGGGCGGGGCGGGGCGGGGCGGAGCGGGGCGGAGCGGGGCGGCGGAGGGCGGGGGGCUGCGGAGAACGGCGGGCGCCCAGCGAAGAGGGCGUGUGGGGUGCGGGGCGCGGCGCGGCGCAGGUCGGAGCGGGACGCGUCGGAGCCCGGGCAGGGCGGUGAGGUCAGCGAGGAAUCGGUGGAUUCCCGGAGCUGAUGAGGUGAAGGGGACGCGAAGAGACGCCGCUCCUAAGCUGACGGUCCACUGGCAGGAGGUGGGACAGCUGAUGGGCAAGAGGGUGAAGGGAAUCUAGGCCUUUUUCUGGGGCACUGGUCCAGAUUGGGCCAAGGGGUCAUUUGGAGCCUCCUUCUGGAGGCCCCAGUCCUGGCAGUCCUCGUUGGUCCGGGUUCGGGGUGUCAGCGCAGGGGACUCAGUUGGACUCCCCCCAGACCGGACAAGGAGUCUGGUUAUUCUCUGCCGCUGGGCAGUUUUCCCCAAGAGACCCAGCUUUGGAACUGAGCGUUCACUGGGCUCCCGCGGGUGAGGCCCUUCGCGAAUCUUUCGGAACGAGGGUCUCA